rnacentral:lncRNA from 1 species
AGUUUUAAAUUUGUUUCUAAAUAGAAAAUUAUUCGCUGGAGUCAAUAUUUUGAAAACCAAAGUCCUAAAUUCUCUCUUGUGCGUGCCGGGCCAGCAUCCUAAACCUUACUGGUUGCCGGAGAAUGGCGUAAAACGGCGGUGAUCUUCUUCUUCAUCUUAUUCUCUCUCAUCGUUUCAGGUAAGCUUGUGAUUAUGAGUUUCUUGUCUUUCUUAGCUUGUAAUUAUAGAUUUUGAUUUUUUAAUUCGUAUUGUAGCCGUUAAUGUAAAUUUUUGUCCCGCUGGCAAAUUUUUUUGUUCCUACAAGUUGAAGCCCUUCUGUUCUUGUUCCAUUAGUGACUUUGCUCCCUCAAAUUAAUUUCGUUCGGCGGAAUUUACAAAGUUCAAAUGGAUUCAUUUGGAUUACUAUUGAAUUUAGCUUUCAUUUCUGUAGAAUCACUGUACAUAUUAGCAUUUAGAUUUUAUUGAUUUAUUAUUUUAUUACCUAAUAAGGAGAUUUAGUUGUUGACUAAUUCUAAUUUUAGUUAGUCUCAUAAUUUAGUGGGAUUCCUGAUUUGAAGGAAUUUGCUUCUGAUUUAGUGAGCUGGAAUACCGGCCAGCUUAAUAUAUAUGUAUCCUCAUGUAGUUCAUUGGAAUAAGACUGAAUGAGAAUAACUCUUUUUCUCUGAAAUUAACAUGGUAAAAAAGCCUCAUACGAUCCUCCUCUGAAAACCUAAUCUUGUGAAUUUCAUUCCCUAUUCUCAUUCCAAUCAAUACCUUACAAAUCUUCUAUCCUUCAAGCUUUCAUCUGCAAUAUUUUUUUUUCUCGAUUCCUCUAAACCAAAACAUGACAAAAAUAGGAGCAGCGUUGCAAACCUCCUCCUCUGAGAUCACGUCUAAAUCAGAUUCAACCCCGAUGAUAGCCACUCAUGGUAACUCCGAAUCUGGAUCCAUUCUUAUUGCCAGCUAUAAAUUAAAUGGACAGAACUACCUCCAAUGGUCCCAAUCUGUGUUAAUGUUUAUUUCCGGGAAAGGUAAAGAUGAAUAUCUCACCGGUGAGAUUGAAAUUCUUGAGAAAGGAGAUCCAAAAUACAGGCUAUGGAAGAGUGAUAACAUCAUGAUUAUGUCAUGGCUGAUAAAUUCCAUGAACAAUGAUAUAGGUGAAAAGGAGACAUACUCAAGUUCUGAGAACACAGCAGAACUAUUCCAAAUUGAGAUUAUCUUGCACGAUUUCCGUCAAUAGAAUCUCUCUGUCACACAGUAUUUCAACACUCUAACAAGGCAUUGGCAGCAACUUGAUAUGUUUGAUACUCAUACAUGGAAGUGUGCAGAUGAUGCAGUCACUUACAAAAAAAUCGUGGAGCAAAAAAGGAUCUUCAAAUUCCUAUUAGGAUUAAACAAGGAGUUGGAUGAAGUAAGGGGACGAAUUAUGGGGACUAAACCACUGCCCAAUAUUAGAAACUUGUUCUCUGAGGUUAGGCGUGAAGAAAGCAGGCGCAAGGUGAUGAUGUGAUCUCAAGAAGUUACAACUAAUCCGUCACUGCUUGACAGUUCUGCGCUUGCUGUCUGAGGAACCAACACUAGCUCCAAUGACAAUCGUCAACAACGAGGAAGGCCCUGGUGCGACCACUGCCGCAAGUCUGGACACUGGAAAGAAAGUUGUUGGAAACUUCACGGGAGACCAGCUGAUUGGAAGCCAAACAAGCCUAACUAUGAUAAAGAAAGCCGUGCUAAUGCAGCUUCAUCAACGGAGGAGAAAACUUCAAGUGAAACAAGUGGAUUCAGCAAAGAACAAAUGGAAAUUCUGUAGAAAAUGAUCUGCCAUAGUCUUUCGCAAUCUACUAGCCAACUUUAAGCAAUUAGUAUGAAGGCACAGUGAACUAGUUUUCCUGUUGCUCUUAAUACUAGCAGUGACCAAGGUGAAUCAUGGAUUGUAGACUCUGGCGCAUCCGACCAUAUGACAGGGGAUGCAACACUCUUGCACAAUUACUGUCCUCAAACGAGUAAUUCUUCUGUUCGUAUAGCAGAUGGUUCUCUCUCCUUGGUCUUGGGAAUAUGAUCUGCUCAUCUAACAGAAGAUAUAAUUCUCACCCCUGUUCUUCACGUUCAAAAUCUGGACUGUAAUUUACUUUCAGUUAGCAAAUUUAGCCAAGAUCUUAAUUGUGUUGCUAAAUUUUUUCCACGCUUGUGUGAAUUUCAGGGAAUGGAAUCGGGGAAGACGAUUGGCAGUGCUGAGUUGGUGUCAGGUCUCUACCUAUUUAGAGCCAAUUAUCCUCCAAGUAGACAAACUGGUUACUCAAGUUGCAACAUGUCCACUAGUGUAUCAAAGAGUCUGUUGUCACUUCAUUCUUCUAUUUUCAAUUCUAGUGUUAAUAAUGUGGAUGAAAUCAUGCUAUGGUACUUUCGCCUCGGCCAUCCCAACUUUGUGUAUCUAGGAAAAAUAUUUCCUAAACCGUUCAUCAAUAAAAAACCAAAUUCAUUUCAUUGUGAAAUAUAUCAAUUUGCUAAACUUACACGUGCAAAUUUUCCUUCAAUUCCUCACUUACCUACCCGUCCAUUCACCAUGAUUCAUAGUGAUGUAUGGGGUGCAUCAAGAAUUAAAAGCCUCACGGGGGCUCGCUGGUUUGUGUCUUUUGUGGAUGAUCACACUCGUCUGACUUGGAUAUUUCUCAUGAAAGAAAAAUCUGAAGUUAACCAUAUCUUCCAGAAAUUUCAUAUGAUGGUCCAAAAUCAGUUCAAUGCUCAAAUCCAAGUCUUUAAAACCGACAAUGCUAGAGAAUACUUCAAGUCCCAUCUUUCACAUCAUGGCAUAAUACAUACUAGCUCAUGUGUAGAUACCCCUCAGCAGAACGAAGUGGUUGAAAGAAAAAAUCGCCACCUUAUUGAGGUAGCUCGGGCACUCUUAUUUACAUCUAAUAUGCCGAAGUAUUUCUAGGGUGAGGCAAUCCUUACUGCGGCUUACCUAAUCAAUCGAAUGCCUUCUAGGGUUCAUAAAUUUCAAAGUCCUCAUCAAGUUCUCCUCAAAACAUAUCCUCACACCAAAUUUAUCUCCUUAGAUGUUCCUAUAAGAGUUUUUGGGUGCUCAGCCUUUGUUCAUAAUCAUUUCCCAAAUAGAUCCAAAUUAGAUCCUAAAUCCAUCAAAUGUGUCUUCUUAGGUUACUCAUCAAACCAAAAGGGUUACAGAUGCUACUCUCCCAUUACCAAAAGGGUCUACAAUUCAAUGGAUGUCACUUUCUUUGAACAUGAAUCUUAUUACCCAAAAUCUGACAUUCAGGGGGAGAAUGUAAGGGAAUCUCAAUUUUGGGAUGAACUUCUCAUCAAAGAAUCCUCUGAAAUUUAGCAUGCAUCUCCACCUCUUGUCCUUCUUCCCUCAGAUUCAAACUACACACCAAACCCCAACCUUGAAAUUCCAUCGUCUAACAGUCCAUCAUCCUCAAAACAUAGGUCUACACAACUUGAAUCUUCCCAGCUCCGUGUCUAUACUAGGAGGAAAAAUGAAAACAAGGAGAGUGAGAACCUUGCACCUCUCAUGCAUUGCCAUGACUCCAACCCGAAUUCUAAUCCUGCUCAAGUUCACUCAAGUGAGGCCGAUCAUUCUCCUGAGUUAAUUGUGCCGAUGAUUGAUGAUGCUGAUGUUCCUAUUGCUCUAAGGAAGAGUGUAAGAUCCUGUACCAGUCAUCCGAUUGAAAAUUUUGUGAGCUAUAACUCUCUUUCUCCAGCAUACAGGGCAUUCAUUACUUCCCUUGACAGUGUACAAAUUCUGAGAACUAUUCAUGAGGCUCUUAAACAUCUAGGAUGGCAGAAAGCUGUACAGGAUGAGGUUACUGCACUUGAAAAGAAUAGAACAUGGGUAAUCACAGAUUUACCAGCUGGAAAAAGACCAGUAGGUUGCAGGUGGAUAUUUACCAUCAAACACAAAGUAGAUGGAAGCAUUGAAAGACUCAAAGCUCGGUUAGUUGCUAAGGGAUUUACACAAUCUUAUGGUAUUGACUAUCAAGAAACUUUUGCUCCAGUUGUCAAACUUAAUACCAUCCGAGUACUCCUUUCACUUGCUGCUAAUUUUGAUUGGUCAUUACAUCAACUAGACAUUAAGAAUGCUUUUCUAAAUGGCGACCUUGAAGAAGAAGUCUAUAUAGAAGUGCCACCUGGGAUAGAAAGUUCUCACACUAAAAGCAAGGUAUGUAAACUGCUAAAGUCUCUCUAUGGACUCAAGCAAUCUCCUCGUGCAUGGUUUGGUAGGUUUGCCAAGUUUGUGACCAAAUGUGGGUAUAAACAGUGCCAAUCAAAUCAUACCUUGUUUGUUAAGUUCUCAACAAAGAAGAAAAUUGCAGUUUUGAUCGUCUAUGUUGAUGAUAUCAUUCUUACUGGUGAUUUUGAGGAAGAAUUACAGUUUUUGAAACACCGUUUAGCUCAGGAAUUUGAUAUUAAGGACCUCGGUAAUUUAAAAUACUUCAUUGGCAUGGAGAUAGCAAGGUCAAGAGAAGGCAUUGCAGUGACCCAACGAAAAUAUGUAUUGGAUUUGUUGAUGGAAACAGGGAUGCUCGGCUGUAAACCAGCAGAUACACCCAUGGACUCAAGCAAAACGUUUGGCACAGAAUCAGAGAGUGUUCUUGUGGACAGGGGGAGAUACCAGAGACUUGUUGGACGGCUAAUCUAUCUCUCCCAUACAUGCCCAGACAUUGGAUUUGCUGUCAGUUCAGUGAGUCAAUUCAUGAACAAUCCAAGGGAAGAGCAUAUGGAGGCCGUGUAUAGGAUCUUAAGGUACCUUAAGUUGACACCUGGGAAGGGAUUAAUGUUCAGGAAAAACAACAAACGGGAGAUUGAUGUAUACACUGAUGCAGACCACGCAGGGAACAUAAUGGACAGGCGCUCUACUUCUGGCUAUUGUUCAUAUGUUUGGGGAAAUCUUGUUACAUGGAGAAGUAAGAAACAGUCGGUUGUCUCUCAAAGCAGUGCAGAAUCUGAGUUCAGAUCAUUGGCAAUGGGUAUUUGUGAAGGUAUUUGGAUUCAUCAAUUACUUAGAGAGUUGGGAAUUAUAAAUAAGCAACCUAUCAGGUUAUUCUGUGAUAACCAGGCAGCAAUCAGCAUUGCUAAAAACCCAGUGCACCAUGAUAAGAUGAAACAUGUUGAGAUUGAUCACCACUUCAUCCUAGAGAAGAUCGAAAAUAACACUGUCCAUAUUGUCUACAUUCCUACUCAACAUCAAACUGCAGACAUCCUUACUAAAGCUCUUCCAAGAACUAGAUUUGAAGAAUUGAGUUGCAAACUAGGCAUGUACAAUUUGUACAACCCAGCUUGAGGGGGAGUGUAGAAUCACUGUACAUAUUAGCAUUUAGAUUUUAUUGAUUUAUUAUUUUAUUACCUAAUAAGGAGAUUUAGUUGUUGAUUAAUUCUAAUUUUAGUUAGUCUCCUAAUUUGGUGGGAUUCCUGAUUUGAAGGAGUUUGCUUCUGAUUUAGUGAGCUGAAAUACCGGCCACCUUAAUAUAUAUGUAUCCUCAUGUAGUUCAUUGGAAUAAGACUGAAUGAGAAUAACUCUUUUUCUCUGAAAUUAACAAUUUCUAUAUUCAUUCUAAUGUUUUACAAUUAUGUAUUUAUAUUUACUUUAAUUUUAUGUUUAAAGCUUCUACAUUGAAUAGCUGAGCUUGGGUCUUAGUUUCAUUUUCUAAUUAACUUGUUUUAGUUUAUCUUAUAUGCUCACCAAGGGCUUGUUAUAUUGUCUGAUAAGUUAUAUAACAUUGCUAAUUCUAUAUUAAUAACGUCAUGUUUUAUUUUCAGAAAUUAUAAUAUAAAAGUUUUUACAAUGGCAAGCAUCUACAAACUGAAUUGACUUGUAGAAUAAGAGCUUCGAGUAGUGUUAUGAUCUUGAAUAAAUGAAAGUUCAUAUUGUGUAAGAGCAUGUAGAUGUAAAACAUCAUUACCAUUUCUACAAAGUGCUUUCAUUCUGUUCAGAUGCUCCUCUUGAACUUUGAAACGUGCCUCAUUCAAGUCCUGGCUAUAACUACUAGCUAUAUUGAAAGUAUUUGAAAACUUUUUUAACAUGAAUGACUUCUAAAUGACUUACAAACCUAAAGCAUAUGUGAAAUAAUGCUCAUUUCACUUGAACGAGCCUAUUAAUACUUGUAUGUCUAUGAUUGUUAAUAUUGGCUUAAGCGUUUCAGUUAAAUGGUUUACAUAACAGGGAAAAAAAUUUAAUGGAAAACUUUAGAGUUCUAACAGAAAUAUAAUUGACUAUGCAGAUAUAGUUAUUUUAUGGUAUACAAAUCAUGUUGCCUUAAUCUCAAUGUCCUAUGACCUAUUUUAUUUUAUAGAGUCAUUCAUUUUUGCCAUGGCUUUUUGUGUUUAUGAGCAUGGAAAUAGUGGGAGUUGGUGUAUCUUAGCAUCUUUGGAAAAUUCUCUUUAAAUGUGGCAAACAAAAAUAUACAUAUAAUCAAGUUUCUUAAUCAACUAUCAUAACUGGCUAGCUAGUUCUUGCCUGCCUUGCUGCCAUUACCCAGGCCAUUACAUUGCAUAGCAUAAUGAAUAGUGAUUAGGUGAUUAUGAGUGAUUCAUUGAGCGUAUUAUUGACCAAACAAACAUAUUCGUCUUUACCCACAACUUAGUUUGAUUAGUUAUUAGACCAUAAAGAGCGGUAAUCUGUUCAUUGGCUUUGUUAUUUUAUUUGGUUUUUCUUUCAACAAUACUGUUGAUUUCUUAUAAAAAUAUUCAUUGGUUUCUAAACACCUAAUCAUUGGCUAUAAUGAAGCUAAAUGAAACUGAGGCUUUGGAUCAAUUUCUUCUAACAAGAUACAAAUGAGCAUAUAACCUAUAUCCUCUAAGUAAAUUUUUCUAAUAUCCCUGAUUUGUUAGGAUCUGGAGGCCUGAAAUCCUCUAGAUUUUUUUAACACUGUCAAUGUUCUUUUUACUCUGAAAAGGGGAAAAAAAGGUUAUAUCUUUCUUACCCUAAGAGUAAGUUGGCAUUGACUUAAUAACAUGCGUUCCCAAGGAUUUGCAAGAUUCACAAGCAGCUUAAACAAAACCCCCCCCCCCCCCCUCCCCGGAAAAAAAAAAAGAAAGAUUUUGCAAGAUUCACAACCAGGUUAUAUUUAAUUUAUUAAUUGUGUGCACGUACUAGUUAUAUGUUGAAAGAAUAGGAAAAAGUAUUUUAACAUGAAUAACUUAAAACUUAUUGCUCAGUUAACAUAAUCUGCAUCAGUACUAGAAAAUGUAUUUAUUGUUUGUAUUUUUUAUGGAUUUGCUUAAGAAAUGAUACGCGAAAUAAUGUUACAUUGUAUUAGGAAUAAAUUGAAGAGAUUCAUGAUAUUUAUGUGUUAUUCAAAUUUCAGAUUGAAUUUUAAACUUUCAAUACAUGCAUUGAAAGCUUAGAUCGUUUAAGAAAUUAUUAAUAGACACAUGUUUUAUUAGUGUCGUCUUUGGAUGAUAGGGAGGAUCAUAUGUCUAUUAAUAAUUCUUGAAUUGUCUAGGCUUGAACUGUUUGGGAAUGCAUAGUUUUCUAUGGUAGCUAGUAGCUGAAGUUUUUUUCCUGCAUAAAAAUGGGUUUUUCGCUAGCUGCUUCUCAUCUUCUUUGGGUGCAUACUAGAUAACACACAAACACUCAUAUAUCUAUGUCGUGUGCUUGGAGAACUAUUGGGAGAUGCUGCCGAAAUUUCUAUAAACGUAGAAGAAAACUUUAAAGUACUUGAAAUUGAAGAAACUUAUGCAUUCUUGAGAGGGAUAUAUGGGAUCACUUACCUUUUGUAAAUAUGAAGGGAGUGUUGGACAUAUUGAUGGGAGUGGAGGAGCUGAGUUGGAUGGAUGUAAUCGGUUAUGGUUUUGCUGAGUUAACUUGGUUUUGAGCUUGUAAUUUUGUUUAUAAAUGGAGUACUAUCUCCAAUGUUGGUUUAUAAAUAUGUUUCAGCUGGCUGACCUAAUUUUUUGUUUCUAGGCAACAGGUUUUAUAUCUGUAAUUGAUAGCCAACUGAAGUUCUCAGCUGUGGUUGAGGAUAUUUCUUUACAGAAG